GGCUCAGAACGAACGCGGGCGGCGUGGCUAAGACAUGCAAGUCGUACGGACCUCGGUAGCAAUAUUGAGGUUAGUGGCGAAAGGGUGAGUAAUGAAUGGGUAACGUACCCUGAACUCGGGGAUAACAGCGCCCGCAAGGGCUUUAGCGAAAGUGCUGCUAAUACCCGAUGACAUCGCGAAAUCGCAUGGUUUUGCGAUCAAAGCCGGGGACCCGCAAGGGCCUGGUGGUUUGGGAGCGGCCCAUUUCCUAUCAGCUAGUUGGCGAGGUAACGGCUCACCAAGGCUUCGACGGGUAGCCGGACUGAGAGGUUGGCCGGCCACAUCGGGACUGAGACACUGCCCGGACACCUACGGGUGGCUGCAGUAACGAAUAUUGGGCAAUGGGCGCAAGCCUGACCCAGCGACGCCGCGUGCAGGAGGAAGUCCUUCGGGAUGUAAACUGCUGUCAGGGGCUUACAAGCAAAGGGUGUUAACAGCAUCCGGCGUUGAGUCGCCCCAGAGGAAGCCACGACUAACUCUGUGCCAGCAGUCGCGGUAAUACAGAGGUGGCAAGCGUUGUUCGGAAUCACUGGGCUUAAAGCGCGUGUAGGCGGCUCGGAAAGUGUCGUGUGAAAUCCCAGGGCUCAACCCUGGAACUGCGCGGCAAACUCCCGAGCUUGAGGCCGGUAGAGGUGCCUGGAACUCUCGGUGGAGCGGUGAAAUGCGUAGAUAUCGAGAGGAACGCCAGAGGCGAAAGCGGGGCACUGGGCCGGUUCUGACGCUGAGACGCGAAAGCGUGGGGAGCAAACAGGAUUAGAUACCCUGGUAGUCCACGCCGUAAACGAUGCACACUAGACGUCGGACCCUCUGACGGGACCGGCGUCGCAGCAAAAGUCCUAAGUGUGCCGCCUGGGGAGUACGGCCGCAGGGCU
rnacentral:rRNA from 1 species